CUGGCCAAGGCAAGAACAAAAGGGAAAAAGCAUAGAACAAACCCUAGAGAAAAAAAUCAAGAGAAAAUUCAUUGGAUUUCAAGGAAUUAAGCAAGUAAAGGUAAAAUUUCUUAAUUCUAGCUUGUGAUCUACCUUUCCUAUGCAUUCUUUUAAAAUUACCAUGGUUAAAAUUCAAGAUCUCAUGAAGGAUUCAUGGCUGAUUGAAUUUUGGGAGAGAAGAUUUGAUGAUUUAUAUGGUUAGAUUUCAAGGUAUCUUAGUGUUUUUAGUUGUUUGGUGAUGUUUAGCAUGAAAAACAAGCAAGAAAUUUCAUGCCCUUCACCCACACUCCUUGGCUGAAAUUUUCAAGAGAGAAAUUGGAUAAUGGACUUUGAUGAAUUUCAUGCUAUUUAGGUGUUUUUAGUUGUUUUAUGAUGUAAGGUGUAAAAAUCAAGCAUGAAAAUUACAUGUUCUACACUAAACCUUCAAUGGUCGAAUUUUACAAGGAAGAUAUUGAUGAUGGAUUUUUGUGAUAUUACAUAUUAUUUAACUUGUAAUUGAUGACUUGGAGUGUUGGAAGUGGAAUCAAGUUAAUUGGAGUUGAAUUGGAUGUAUUGGCCAAUUAACUGGUGUAUAGAUCGAAUUAGGCCAAUACCAUUUUAUUUCUAUACAUAAUUGAAGCUACGUAGAACAACAUAUUCAGAUAAUAAUCUGAACAUUUUGCAUCCCAUUUCAUGCAUUCAUAUAGAGCCUAAAUUAGUCUUAUAACGGUUUAGUACAAAUAUAGUAAAUUGCUUAUUGUGCAUUAUGUUUAGGUGGUGAAACUUCCGAUAAGGGUAACGAGAUUGUACUCGAAGAUCGGGACUAAGAGUACUUCAACUCCCGAUAUUGUGAGUAACCUUAUUAUCGUCUUAGUUAUCUAAAAUAGUUUUUAUUCGUUUUUGUGAUUUUAUAGAAAAAUGAGUUUAAAUGGUAAAUCCUUAUGUUUUAUAAGUAAAAUGUGAUUAAAUGAAAUGAAUUUUAUAAAUCAUUUUGAAAUUGAAUGAUGAUUUUAGAAAUUGAGUAGUUAGAGACUGUUUGAUUGUGUUGUAAAUUUAUGGUUUGAAUUGAAUGGCUUAUGGUGAUAUUGGCAUGAAUGGAUAAAUUGGAAAUUGUGUUGAAAAUGUAUGAAUUGUUUGUUUUGCCUUAACAGGAUGGGUAGUAAUAUAAUUGCCAUGUCAUGCUGUUGAAACUUUUAUUGAUUUGGUGGAAUAUUGAUUAGUCACUCUAGUGGCGGGUUUUCGUGGACCAGCCUAUUAGAGAGGGGCAUGGUAAACUCGAUUAUAUUUUACCUCGGUACGAGAGGCGCGGAGGGUAUCUCCUGAGAAAAAGCUUUAGAGUUUACUACACGCUAAACCACCACGUGAGGGUGAACUCAGCCAACACCAAGGAAUGGCUAUGCUUUUAAACGUAAAAAUGUGUUUUAAGCGUAUGUGAACUUUUCUUUAAUAGCCUUGGCUGACUCGAUUGGAUGCCCCAACCAAGGUAUCCUAAAGAAUGAGUUUUGGCAUGAGCCAAAUUUUUAAGAAAUUCAUAAGCCAUGUUGAUCAUUUGAGUGAAAUGAAAUUAUUUUAUUUAGUUGAAAUGAGUUUGAAACGUUAUGAAUCAUAAUACGAUGAACUAUUUUAAGUUGUCUCAAUUUACUCGACUUUAGAUAUUUUAGAUGAUGUUUGUUUACUCACUGAAUUUAUAUAAACUCACCACCCUCAUUUCCACUCAUUCCAGGAUCAGGACAGUCCGUAAAUAGCUGAUUACAUCGAGGGUUAUUAUUGGACUUGCCUCCUCAGAAAUUGUAGGUCCACAGCCUUUGUUACCUUUGGUCAUUCCGGGGCCCAUACGUCAUUGUAAAUUAAAUUACAUACUCUGGUUAUCUGUGUUACUGUAUGUAUGGAUUUAUUUUGCUUUUACGCUACAAAAAUUAUUUACGCAGAGUUCUAUCAAUAUUGUUUUAUAAGAAAAUGGAAUAUUUCAUUUAAUAUUUUUAUUUUAUUCUAUUAGCUACAAUUUCACCCUAAAUGAAUGUUUUAGACAUAAAAACUUGCUUUUAGUUAUGAAAUGUGUAUUUUCCCCUAUAUAUUAUAUUUUCAACAGGUUUCAAAAUUUUUGGAAAAAAUGACCAAAAUGCCCUUAUGUGACAGAAAAUAUAUUUUAUUAUUAUUUGAUUUGAAAAUAGCUUAUAAUUUUUUAAAAUAUGAUAUUUAGUAAUUAUUGCUCACAAGGGAGGUGCAAAAACUGAUAUUAAGCCUUGCGAGGUUUCGGUUGGCGUUCAAGGUAAUGAAUGUCUAUCGGGACAUCGCAGAGAUUAUCACUGGCUCGAUGAGAGUACUGGGUCAUGACACUUUGAGAUCUUAGAAAAGGUUGGAGCAGUGGCGUAUCAUUUGGCGCUACCACAAGACGUCUCAAAUAUUCACCCUGUAUUCCAUGUGUCAAUGCUUAGAAAAUAUAACCCCGAUCCAUCUCAUGUAAUACGGUAUGAAACCAUCCAAUUGUAAGAUGAUCUAACCUUUGAGGAACAACCAGUGGCUAUCCUUCAUAAGCAAGUCAAAAAGCUUCGUUCAAAGGAUGUAGCCUUAGUGAAAGUGUUAUGGCGAAACCACACUAGUGAAGAGGUAACGUUGGAAGCCGAGAAGGAGAUACGAACCAAAUAUCCACACCUCUUUGAUGCUUAGAGGUACGUUAUCUUAUAGUUGAAUUUAAAUUCGAGGACCGAAUUUCUUUAAGUGGGGGAGAAUGUGAGACUUUGACCUUUCUAGACUCGUAGAUGAGGUAGAUGCAAUAUCCCUAAUCAAGGGUAAUUUCGUCAUUUCCUUAAUAAGCCCCUAAAAGUAAGACAUUAAACAAUAUUAUGGCCUAAGUAGGCCUAAGGCAUAAAUGGAUGAUUAAAUAAGGGUAAAAUGAUGAAGGAAAUAAAAAUGAUGAUGAUUUCCACGAUAGGGGCAAAAUGGUCAUUUUUUACCUCGGGUCAAAAUUUUUAAGUUUUCAUGAACUCGAGCAUUUCUAGACCAUUAUGGACCUUGUCCUAGUGUCAAAGGAGUAAAAGAUUGCAUAAAGGAUUGGAAGAGAACAAGUUGACUUGUGAGGGCAUUUUGGUUAUUUAAAUGGAGUGGAUAAGCUUGGGCUAUAAAUAUCUCUUUCUUCCAAUAGCUUCUUCUCCCAUUUUCCAACAACUUCUUCUUCUUCUUCCUUCUUCCCUUUCACAUUGCUUCUAACCUCCAUGGAAGCUUGAUAUGAACCUCCAUAACCUCCCUCAAAAUAGCUCCACUUUUCAUGCUUUUGGUGCACCCUUUCAUAAAUUCUUGUGCUCUUCCACUCUCUCUCAUUAAAACCCUUGAAAAAUCUUAUUUCCAUACUCUCUCUCACUAGUUAGGUGUUUUAGAGAGAGGAAAAGGAAGCUUUAUUAAUAGCUUGAAAGUUUUGGAAAGAAUUUCAAGCACAAAGCUACCAUGGUGAGUAAUGAACUAGAAUUGAUUUUUAGUGUUGAAAAUGAUUAGUGUUUAGACUUGUGGAUGUUUUGGUAGUUGAGGUUGGAAAUUCACUUUAGAGUGAUUAGGAUAGUGAAAAUGGAUAGCCAUUUAAUGGCACUUGAAAACUAGUAGGUGAUAGCUUGUAGAACUUGUAAUUAUGAGAAUUGAGUUAAUUGUGAAGUUAAUGUGAUGAUAGGCUCCAAUGAAGCCCCACCAUCCCAUUUGGACCAUUAAGGAAGUUAGAAUCGACUAAAGGUUGAACAAAAUAUUGGUGAGUGGACUUGCAUUUCAAACUUGUUUUAGGAAUGUGAAUGUGUUUGCACAAGAUAUUUGAAUGAUUUUAUCCAACUUUUCCUUGCAAAUGUGUGCCAAGGAACAAGCCUUGAUUAAAUGUUUUUGAUAUUGUGAAAUGUGAUAUGUGUAUAAGGAUGAAUCCGUAUCCUUUAUAUUAUGUUGGUAGGUGUGUAUAUAUCUUGAGAAUUUCCCAUUUUCUUGCAAAUUGAUUUUUAUUGUAAAAAAGAGGUCCUUUUUACACUUAGGUGCCCUGCUUCUCGCUGCAACGAGAAACAUUUUGUUUUGGCUACCAACAACUUGCUGCAGCGAGAAACUCUCGAGUUUUGAUGUAGUGCUUUCACUUCGAUGAGGAUUUUGACCACCUUCCCUUUUGAACUGAGAAAAAUGGUAAACAUCAAAGUUGUAUCCCUAUCUCUUAUCUUUCUCAUGGUCCAAAAAUCAGAUCAAUUAAACUUCUGUACCUAAAGAUAGGAUAGAAAAACUGAAACAUAUGCAAACUAACACUAUUUCUCGCUACAGCGAGAACUUUUCUGUUUUGGCCGCCUGAAUCUCGCUGCAGUGACAAUGAACUUUGCUACAGUGAAACUUGCUGCCAUGCUUGCUACCUUGCUUGAUUUUGACAUAUUUUUCACCCAUUUAACUUUAUGGAUUGAUCUUGGGUUUUUGCAGCAUUAUAAGGUUAUUAAUCAAAGUUUGAAAUGAGGGGUUUUUAGUAAGAAACUAAAUCAAUUGCAUUGUUUUGGAAACAAGUGCAUCAUGAUUUCCAAAUUCUUCCUUUUUGUUUGCUUGUGCCCUUCUUAUGUUCACUCACUAAGUUUAUACUCACCGUUUUCAACUUUAUGUUUUCAUAUCAAGAGGCAGCCGAUAACUAGGACGAGGUGUGGCAUCCCCCUCGGGGCCAGCUAGAAUGGUUAAAGGCAUUCACUUCGGGGGGAGGAAAAGGUCUAAGGUUCAAAGCUUUGUGAGGUCUACGGGCUCGUCUUUCAAAGUGAAGAAUAGCUGAGUGAUGGGGACCCAGACAUAACAAUACCUUGGAGUGGGCCCUGAAGAGGAUACCACAAAAAAAAGUGUUUUAUUCUCAUAUGUUAUUUUAACAGCCUUGGUGGACUUGGUUGGAUGCAUCGGCUCAAGGUGUCAUCGAUUGCAAGUUUUGGCACAAGCCAAGUUUUUACGAGAAUCAUAAGCCAAAUUGAUUAUUUUUGAUGAAAUGUAAUUGAUUUAUAUGGGUUUAAAUGAGAUUUGAUGUUAUGAAUCAUAUUACGAUGAGAUAUUUUAAAUUGUCUCCAUUUACUCGGCUUUAGAUGUUUUAGAUAAAAUUUGCUUAUUCAUUAGGUUUAUAAAAACUCACCCCUUCUUUUCACCUAUUUCAAGCUCAGGGCAGUCUGUAGACUACUAAUUAUGUUGAGGGUUUGCUUUUGGGUUUACACCCGUAGAAAUCGUAGCUCUAUAGUCUUGUACAUAUAUGUUUAUUUUGGGGGCCCACAUGUCAUUGUAGAAUAUUUUGUAUACCUGGCUGCGUGUGCCACUGUAUGUAUGAAUUUAUUUGCUUUUAUGCUACAAAAAUUAUUUACGCAAAGUUCUAUAAGUAUUGUUUUAUAAGAAAAUAGAAUAUUUUAUUUAAUUUGAAUAGCUAUAAUUUCACUUUAAAUUGAUGAAUUAGACAACGAAACUUAUUUUUAGACAUGAAAUGGAUGCUUAUUACUCGUAUAUCAUAUUUUUACUGUGUUUCAAAACUUUCGGGUAAAAAUGACCAAAGUACCCUUGUGUGGCAGAAAUUAUAUUUUUGUUUGUUUUUAUUUAAAAAUAGUUUAUAUUCCCUUAAAACAUGAUAUUUAGUAACUAUUGCUCACAGGGGAGAUGUAAAACUAAUGGAAAAGCCUUGUGAGGUUUCUGUUGACAUUUCGGGUAAUGAAUGUCUAUCAAGACAUCGCGACGGAUGUCACGGGCUCGAAAGGAGUACCGGGUUGUGAAAUUUCUAUUGGUAUCAGAGCUUUUUAUUUUAAAGUUAUUUUAAAAACUACAGUAUUAGUGUGAUCCCUAUGUUAGGUUAGAUUAAGUCGAAUGCAUGCAUCUGCAUAUAGAACCUGAAGUAGUGUAAACUCAUCUUGUUUUUUCUUAUAAAUUAUCGUGCCUCCUCGACGUGGACUCCCAGCUCUCGCUAGAUCGAUCGGGAGAGGAAGAGGCACGAGUUCGACCUAGUGUAGUGACAAGUACCAUGUCUGUAUUUGACAGAGAUGCUUAUGUCUAAAUUGAUUCUUAUUUAGAUAGAUCUUAUGUGAGGACGACAUUCACAUCCUUUUCUGAUAGAAACCUAUCACUUUUAGAGGAAGAAAUUGUAGUUCAUAACCCUCUAGGAGAGUAGCUGGUUAGAAACACGUGUUAUAGAGACUGUGGAAUAAGAGUUGGUGAGGAAGAAUUCAGGGUUGACUUAAUUCCCCUAGAAAUCUGAGAUUUUGAUUUGAUAUUGGGUAUGGAUUGGUUUAUUGCACAUCGGACGAAUGUAGAUUGUUUCAGGAAGGAAGUUGUACUUAGAGUUCUGAAGGAGUAGAAGUUGUAUUUGUAGGGGAACGUCGAGUAUUACCAUUCUGUGUAAUCUCGGCUAUCAAAGCUUUGAAACUAGUGUAGAAAGGGUAUUCGGCUUAUUUAGCACAUGUGAUUGAUACAUCAAAGGGGGAACCUAAGUUAGAGGAUGUCCCAAUAGUAAAUGACUUCUCUGUUGUGUUUUCGAAUGAAUUACCAGAACUACCUCCUGAUCGAGAACUCGAAUUCUCUAUUGAUCUAUUCUAAGGAUGAGCUUGAAUUUUUCUAUGCUUAGUGUGGAGCCAAAGGAUUAAAGGACUAGAUAUGGAUUUAGUAGUUUGAAAUUAAAUGACUUGAAAAUGUUGAUUCUAGUCUAAAUGCCAUAUGGAGAUUUAUAUUGGAGCUUCAUAUACAAAUUAUUGUAAGGAUUAAUCUAAAAGUCUAUUUGGAUUAGUAUGCAAACUAUGGUGCAAAUGAUUAGUCUUAAAUUUGAUUUCUUCAAAGGUAACGGAUUUAGAAAAUGUUGAUUUUCGGAUAUGCUCUAAGAGGAAGUUUUUGCAUCUUAAGCUUAAGAAACUUUGAUCUUAUGACUGCAAAGGCGAGAUGCAAUAAUUAAGUGGUGUACAAUUUGAGAUAUGUCGAAAUUGAGGAAAGUAAGAAGGGAUUCUUACUUGUGGUAAUGGAUGUUGACAGUGUUAAAGAAUGAGAUGAAUUUGAAAAUAUUGGCUUAGUCUAUUAUAUGUGAUAAGCACAAGAGAAUAUAAUGGUUAUGGAAAACUGCGACAUAAACUUGGAGGAAAACCAAACAAUUGAGGAUGAUUAAUAUAGUAACCUUAAAUUUAGACGAAUAGCGUUGAUUAAGUAAACUUAGUAGCCACCAUGCCGCCGCGCUAGAAACACCUCAUAUCUGGGACGUAGGAAUAAAAGGUGAAAGAUUGGAAGUUGAACUUACGAGUUAAAUUAAGGUCAUUGGACUUGAUGUUAAGCUUCGUUAAUUGGAGUUUUAAGGUUUUGGAAGGUAUUGAUAUGAAUGAAUUGGAAAGUUUCUUUGUUGACUUAUAUAUUGGCAAUGUAUAAGAGUUUUGAAACGAAUAGACCGAACUGCAAGUGUCAAGAAUAAUGGUUAGUAGUACUUUAAAAUAUUUUAUAUACAUGAGGAAAUGUGGAACUUGGAAUUGUCAAGGAGCUUAAUGGUUAAAGCAUAAGUUAUGAGGUCGCUCGAUGUGAGGUUGAAAUUAGAUAUUGGUGAUGAUGUCGAAGGAUACCUAAGUAAAAUCCAUAUUAAGUUUAUAAAUAUCAGAGUUGAUUGUGCAGACGCUAAAGAGAACGUAUGAGUAUAUUGGUGUAAAGAAAUAGUACAAGAUGAUUGAAGGUAAUCCUAAUAAUGAAGUUAGUUAAUGAAAAUUUCCUAAUGAGGGAAACUAGUAUUCAAAAUGUAAGAAGUGCACAUGCCUUCAAUGAAUUUAAAUCUUAAGCUACUAACUAAUAUGGAAAUGAAUAAGGACAUAUAUGAUGGAAGUAUACAAGGUAAAUGAGAAACGAAGAUGACUUUUAGGAAUUGUGAUAUUGCAUAAGAUACAAGGAUGAAUUAAAGAAAACCUCUGAAGGAUCAAUAAGAUCGUAAAGCAUAUGUGGAUACUAGAUUGUGAUUGGAUGAAAAUGAUAGCUAUGAUUGAAAUGUGGUUAAUGACAUUGUGAUCCAAGGAUGCGUGGUAUAAUGGAGCUUAUACAUAGGAUUGGAAAUGAUAAGAAAAGAGUAUAAGCAUGUAAAUUAUGUGAAGUUAUGCAUAGGCACAAUGAGAAUCCGUAUGGAUUACAUAAGAAAAGAUUUAUGGUAGGAUGUAAAUUAAAUGGUACUCAAACAUCCAAAAAGGUAAUUUGGAGUUGAUUAUAUCCUAAUAUUCACAGAUUAAAUUUGACCUAUGGGAAUAAAAUAGAAAAGUAAAAAGGGGAAACAUGUGCUAUGAGAAUAUGAUAUUGAACCUUAGUUAUGGAUUAGAAUGAAUAGAGGCAAUUUAGUUAGAAUAUAGUUGACGAGGGUCCUUAUCGAUAGUGAUGGAUGAUGGCACUUAAAUGUAUAUGGACAUACAUAUAUAUAUAUAUAUAUAUAUAAAGAUGAUUAUGUGAUCAACUAAAGUGAAGAAUUAUUCAUGGUAAUUUGAGUUUUGAAUUCGACGUGUUUAAUGAGCUGUAUAGUUGAUACGAUGAUGAAAGUUACUAGUGGCUGGGUAUGAAACGAGACAUAGUCGAGUUUGUGACGAAAUGUCUCACAUGCCAACAGAUCAAGACGGAACAUCAGAAACCAUCGGGUACUCUUCAGCUUCUACCUAUCCCUGAAUGGAAGUGGGAACACGUGAAUAUGGACUUUGUAUUGGGUUUACUGUAAACGCAGAGUGGGAAGGAUGCUAUUUGGGUGAUUGUGGAUAGAUUGACUAAGUUUGCCCAUUUCUUGGCUAUCCAUAGCACGUAUUCCAUUGAGAAACUGGCUAAGUUUUAUUAGAUGAGAUAGUGAGAUUACAUGGAGUCCCAGUUUCUAUUGUGUCAGAUCAAAACCCCCAGUUCACUUCUCAAUUUUGGCCAAAAUUCUAAGAGGCUCUCGAAACUAAUUUGAGGUUUAGCACUACCUUUCAUCCAUAAACAGAUGGACAAUCUGAAAAGACCAUUCAGACUUUGGAGGAUAUCCUACGGGCUUAUGUCAUUGACUUUAUUGGGAGUUAGGACAAACACUUGUCGUUCGUGGAGUUCGCGUAUAAUAACAGUUUAGUAUUGGGAUGGCGCCAUACGAGGCUUUGUAUGGGAACAAGUGUCGAACUCCACUCUGUUGGGAUGAAGUGGGUGACAGGAAAUUGUUUAAUGUAGAGUUGAUUGAUCUGACUAAUGACAAGAUCAAGGUUAUUCGAGAAAGAUUAAAGACAGCUCGAGACAGGCAGAAAAGUUACCCUAAUAGACGAAAAAAAAAUUUGGAAUUUGAAAUUGAUGAUGGAGUUUUUCUUAAGAUUUAUCCUUGGAAAGGUAAUGAUUUGAAUAUUUUGAGGUAUUAAGUCUUAUUUGAUUAUACUAUUGUGGUAAAUUGUGGUAUCUUGUUGGAUAAUGAAAAGUGUGAUUCAAUUUACAAAUCGGGGAAAGCUCAAUCUGAGAUGCAUUGGACCCUUUUGUAUCAUUGAAAGGGUUGAGCUAGUGACAUAUAGACUAGACUUACCCCUAGAGUUGGAUCGGAUUCACAAUGUCUUCCACGUCUCGAUGCUGAAGAAGUACGUACCUGAUCCCUCCCAUAUCCUUGAGGCACCUUCGAUUAAGUUGCAAGAAGAUUUAAAGUUUGAGGUGCAACCUGUACGUAUUUUAGACAGAAAGGAUCGAGUGUUGAGGAAUAAGAACAUUCCAAUGGUUAAGGUGUUGUGGAAAAAUACUCGAAUGCAAAAGAUGACGUGGGAAGUUGAGUACUAGAUGAGAAACCAAUACCCCCAUUUUUUCUCCGCGCGUGGGAAGUGAAAUUUUUAGGUCAAAAUUUUAUUUUAAGGGGGGUAGUGCUAUCAAGCCCUACUCUAUUAUAUACUUGUCAUGUCAUUCAUGUGCUUGAUAGAAUGUUUGCAUAAGUGAAUGUAUCGAAAAAUCGUUAAAAGUCGGUAUUGUACCUAGUGGUACAAUUAAGUUGAUGAAAGCCUCGAACUAGGCAAAAUAAAGAUUUUACAAUGUAUUUGAGAGUUAUUGAAUCUUAGAAUGUCUUAAUAUGGUGAUUCGGAGUUCGAGGAUUGAUUUAGAGUCCAAUCGAGAAUUUUCAUAAUGUAGGGGCAAAAUGGUCAUUUUGCCACCCAAGAGCAAAAUUGGAAUGUUGGAUGAGAUUUUUGACCAAGUUUGACUAGUUGGAGCAUAAUUUGAAAUUGUGGAGUGAAAAUUUUCAAUUUUGACAUUUUUUGAGUAUAAGGGCAAAACGGUCAUUUCAUGUGUCCAUGAGGACGUAAUUGAAAUUUUACACCACCAUGACACUUGUCAAGCCCGUGAAUUUCACCUAUUAUCACUUUAUACUUUGGAUAAUUAUGGGAUUACAUGUGGUGGUGAGAAAUUGCUUAAUGGUUAAGUUUUUAAUCUUGGACCAAUUACAUGGUGACACGUGGCAAAUUUUAAUCCUUUUAUAAUUCCCUUUAAAAAACCAGCACACACUCCUCCCAAAUCACUCUUAGGGCCGGCCAAGCAAGGGAACAAAGAGAAAAAGAGAAGAACAAACCAUAGGAAGGAAAAAUUCAAGAGAAAUUGUUGGAUUUCACGGAAUCAAGCAAGUAAAGGUAAGAUUUUUUAAUUUUAGCUUGUGAUCUACCUUUCCCAUGCAUUCUUUUUCAUUCUCCAUGGCUGAAAUUCAAGUUUUCAAGAGGAAACCUUUGCUGGCCAAAUCUAGAGAGAGAAGUUUUGGUGAUGAAUUUUGCUAGAUUUCAUAACAUCCUAGUGUUUUUAGUCAUUUUGUGAUGUUUGGAAGGAAAAACAAGCAAAAAAAUCACAUGUUCUUCAAUAACCUUCAUUUGGCCGAAUUUUCUAUAGGGCAUGUUGAUGAUGGACUUGGUUGUAUUUCAUGUUAUUUAGCUAGGAAUUGAUGAAUUAUGGUGUUGGAUAUCGAAACCGGUUAUUGAAAAAUAUAGUUCCUUUAGAAAAUGGCUUGAUGGAAAAUGAGAAAAUGAUAGUAAAUGGACUAGGAUUUGAUUCCUAAUUAUAUAUAUAUGGAUUUACGAGAUUGUGUAGAAAUUGAUUAGUAUGUUAGUUCGGAAUCGAAAUGAAUUUUGAAAAAUGGUGAAGUUAGUCAAAAAUCAAGUUCAAUGUAAUGCUUUGGUGUAUUAGAUUACUGGGAGUGUAAUGAAUAUAUUUGUAGUUGAAUCGGAUGUUUUGGUUAAAUCAAUGGUGUAUAGUUUGAAUUAAGUCGAAUACCAAUUCAGUCCGAUCAUAAUUGAACCCAUGUAGAACACUGUCUUUAAGUGAUUAUUCGGACAAUUCUCAUUCAUUGUCAUGCAUUCAUAUAGAGCCUGAAAUAGUUUUAUAACGGUUUGGCAUAAAUAUAUUGAAUUACGUGUCAUGUAUUAUGUAUAGGUGGUGAGCCCUUUGAUAAGGGUAAAGAUAUUGUGUUCGAGGACCAAGAAUAGGAGUACUCCAAACUCCUGCUAUUGUGAGUAAUCAGACUUUCAUCUUAACUAUCUAAAGUAGUUUAUACUCGUUUUUAUGUUUUAAGGAAAAAUGAAUUUAAAUUGCAAACUAUUAUGUUUUAUAAUUGAAGAGUUGAUUAAACAAAAUGAGAUUUUAAACUUGUUUUGAAAUUGAAUACUGGUUUUGGAAAUUGAGUAAGUGGAGAUUGUAUACUUGUGUUAUAUAUAUGUUUUGACAUAUGGUUUGAAUUAAUGGCUUAUGACAAUGUGAUGGCAAGCAUGGCUAGAUUUGUGUUUGUGUGGAAUAUAUGAACUAUUUUGCUUUGCCUUGAUAGGCUGGUAAUAUUAUAUUAGCCAUGCCAUGCUGUCCAAAAUUUUAUUGAAUUGGUGGGUUAUUUAAUUAGGUUACUGCAGUGGGUGGGUUUCUAUGGACCAGCCUAUUAGAAGGGCACGGUAAACCCCAUUAUAUUUUACCUUAGUAUGAGAGGCGCGGAGGGUAUCUCCUAAGGUAAAGUUAGAGUUCACCUCACGCCGAACUACCACGUGAGGGUGAAACUCAUCCAACACCAAGGAAUGGCUAUGCUUCGAAAUGUAACAAAAAAAAAAGAGUUUUAUACUCAUAUGUUAUUUUAACAGCUUUGGCAAACUCGAUCGGAUGCCUCGGCACAAGGUGUCACCGAGUGCAAGUUUUGGCACGAGCAAACUUUUUACGAGAAUCAUAAGCCAAAUUGAUUAUUUUUGAUCAAAUGUAAUUGAUUUAUAUGGGUUGAAAUGAGAUCUUUAAUGAAAUGAGAUUUGAUGUUAUUAAUCAUAUUAUGAUGAGAUAUUUUAAAUUGUCUCCAUUUACUCGGCUUUAGAUGUUUUAGAUGAAAUUUACUUACUCACUGGGUUUAUAAAAACUCACCCUUUUUUUUCACCCAUUUUAGGCUCAGGGCAGUCUGUAGACCACUGAUUAUGUCGAGGGUUUGCUUUUGGGUUUGCACCUUUAGAAAUCGCAGGUCUAUAGUCUUGUACAUAUAUGUUUAUUUUGGGGGCUCACAUGUCAUUGUAGAAUAUUUU
rnacentral:lncRNA from 1 species